AGAGUUUGAUCCUGGCUCAGGACGAACGCUGGCGGUGUGCUUCACACAUGCAAGUCGAACGGGGUAGCAAUAUCCAGUGGCGGACGGGUGAGUAACGCGUGGGAAUCUGCCUUUAGAUGGGGGAUAGCAAACCGAAAGGUUUAUUAAUACCGCAUAUGUAUACAUCACGACAGUGGAGUAUAUGAAAGGAGUAAUCCGUCUGAAGAUGAGCCCGCGUCCGAUUAGCUAGUUGGUAGGGUAAAGGCCUACCAAGGCGACGAUCGGUAGGUGGUCUGAGAGGAUGAUCACCCACAAUGGGACUGAGACACGGCCCAUACUCCUACGGGAGGCAGCAGUGGGGAAUUUUGUGCAAUGGGCGAAAGCCUGACACAGCGACACCGUGUGAGCGAAGAAGCCCUUUGGGGUGUAAAGCUCUGUCAGCUGGAACGAAAAAAAUGACGGUACCAGCAGAGGAAGCAUCGGCUAACUACGUGCCAGCAGCCGCGGUAAGACGUAGGAUGCGAGCGUUGUCCGGAUUUAUUGGGCGUAAAGAGUUCGUAGGCGGUUCGUUAAGUCUGAUGUUAAAGAUCGGGGCUCAACCCCGGGAGUGCAUUGGAUACUGGCGGACUGGAGUGCGGUAGAGGUUAGUGGAAUUCCCAGUGUAGCGGUGAAAUGCGUAGAUAUUGGGAAGAACACCAGUGGCGUAGGCGACUAACUGGGCCGUAACUGACGCUGAGGAACGAAAGCCAGGGGAGCGAAUGGGAUUAGAUACCCCAGUAGUCC
rnacentral:rRNA from 1 species